rnacentral:rRNA from 1 species
CCUUUGACGUUAGCGGCGGACGGGUGAGUAACACGUGGGUAACCUACCUAUAAGACUGGGAUAACUUCGGGAAACCGGAGCUAAUACCGGAUAAUAUUUCGAACCGCAUGGUUCGAUAGUGAAAGANGGUUUUGCUAUCACUUAUAGAUGGACCCGCGCCGUAUUAGCUAGUUGGUAAGGUAACGGCUUACCAAGGCGACGAUACGUAGCCGACCUGAGAGGGUGAUCGGCCACACUGGAACUGAGACACGGUCCAGACUCCUACGGGAGGCAGCAGGC